AGAGUUUGAUCCUGGCUCAGGAUGAACGCUAGCUACAGGCUUAGCACAUGCAAGUCGAGGGGAAACGACAUCGAAAGCUUGCUUUUGAUGGGCGUCGACCGGCGCACGGGUGAGUAACGCGUAUCCAACCUGCCCACCACUUGGGGAUAACCUUGCGAAAGUAAGACUAAUACCCAAUGACGUCUCUAGAAGACAUCUGAAAGAGAUUAAAGAUUUAUCGGUGAUGGAUGGGGAUGCGUCUGAUUAGCUUGUUGGCGGGGUAACGGCCACAAGGCGACGAUCAGUAGGGGUUCUGAGAGGAAGGUCCCCCANAUUGGAACUGGGACACGGUCCAAACUCCUACGGGAAGCA
rnacentral:rRNA from 1 species